CACGUAGGGCGCGAGCGUUGUCCGGAUUUAUUGGGCGUAAAGAGCUCGUAGGCGGUUUGUCGCGUCUGCCGUGAAAGUCCGGGGCUCAACUCCGGAUCUGCGGUGGGUACGGGCAGACUAGAGUGAUGUAGGGGAGACUGGAAUUCCUGGUGUAGCGGUGAAAUGCGCAGAUAUCAGGAGGAACACCGAUGGCGAAGGCAGGUCUCUGGGCAUUAACUGACGCUGAGGAGCGAAAGCAUGGGGAGCGAACAGG
rnacentral:rRNA from 1 species